rnacentral:rRNA from 1 species
GGACUACUGGGGUAUCUAAUCCUGUUUGAUCCCCACGCUUUCGUGCCUCAGCGUCAAUAACUGCUUAGCAUGCUGCCUGCGCAAUCGGUGUUCUAUGUCAUAUCUAUGCAUUUCACCGCUACAUGACAUAUUCCGCAUACCUCAACAGUAUUCAAGACUAAUAGUAUCAUUGGCAGUUUCCAGGUUGAGCCCGGAGAUUUCACCACUGACUUACUAACCCGCCUACACACCCUUUAAACCCAGUAAAUCCGGAUAACGCUCGCACCCUCCGUAUUACCGCGGCUGCUGGCAC